UGCCAGCCGCCGCGGUAAUACGAAGGGUGCUAGCGUUGUUCGGAAUUACUGGGCGUAAAGAGCAUGUAGGCGGAUGAAUUAGUCAGAGGUGAAAGCCCCGAGCUCAACUUGGGAACUGCCUUUGAUACUGCAAGCCUUGAGUUCGGAAGAGAGAGAUGGAAUUCCAGGUGUAGUGGUGAAAUACGUAGAUAUCUGGAAGAACACCAGUGGCGAAGGCGAUCUCUUGGUCCGUAACUGACGCUGAGGCGCGAAAGCGUGGGGAGCAAACAGGAUUAGAUA
rnacentral:rRNA from 1 species